rnacentral:rRNA from 1 species
GGAUGGUAGAAUUCCAGGUGUAGCGGUGAAAUGCGUAGAGAUCUGGAGGAAUACCGAUGGCGAAGGCAGCCAUCUGGCCUAAUACUGACACUGAGGUGCGAAAGCAUGGGGAGCAAACAGGAUUAGAUACCCUGGUAGUCCAUGCCGUAAACGAUGUCUACUAGCCGUUGGGGGAUUUGAUCCUUUAGUGGCGCAGCUAACGCGAUAAGUAGACCGCCUGGGGAGUACGGUCGCAAGACUAAAACUCAAAUGAAUUGACGGGGGCCCGCACAAGCGGUGGAGCAUGUGGUUUAAUUCGAUGCAACGCGAAGAACCUUACCUGGCCUUGACAUAGUAGAGACUUUCCAGAGAUGGAUUGGUGCCUUCGGGAAUCUACAUACAGGUGCUGCAUGGCUGUCGUCAGCUCGUGUCGUGAGAUGUUGGGUUAAGUCCCGCAACGAGCGCAACCCUUUUCCUUACUUGCCAGCAUUUCGGAUGGGAACUUUAAGGAUACUGCCAGUGACAAACUGGAGGAAGGCGGGGACGACGUCAAGUCAUCAUGGCCCUUACGGCCAGGGCUACACACGUGCUACAAUGGUCGGUACAAAGGGUUGCUACACAGCGAUGUGAUGCUAAUCUCAAAAAGCCGAUCGUAGUCCGGAUCGCAGUCUGCAACUCGACUGCGUGAAGUCGGAAUCGCUAGUAAUCGCGGAUCAGAAUGCCGCGGUGAAUACGUUCCCGGGCCUUGUACACACCGCCCGUCACACCAUGGGAGUUUGUUGCACCAGAAGUAGGUAGUCUAACCUUAGGGAGGACGCUUACCACGGUGUGGCCGAUGACUGGGGUGAAGUCGUAACAAGGUAGCCGUAGGGGAACCUGCGGCUGGAUCACCUCCUU